rnacentral:rRNA from 1 species
AUUGAACGCUGGCGGCGUGCCUAACACAUGCAAGUCGAGCGGUAACAGGUGUAGCAAUACAUGCUGACGAGCGGCGAACGGGUGAGUAAUGCUUCGGAAUCUACCUUAUGGUGGGGAAUAACUAGCCGAAAGGUUAGCUAAUACCGCAUACGUCCUACGGGAGAAAGCAGGGGAUCGCAAGGCCUUGCGCCAAAAGAUGAGCCGAAGUCGGAUUAGCUAGUUGGUAGGGUAACGGCCUACCAAGGCGACGAUCCGUAGCUGGUCUGAGAGGACGACCAGCCACACUGGGACUGAGACACGGCCCAGACUCCUACGGGAGUCAGCAGUGGGGAAUAUUGGACAAUGGGGGAAACCCUGAUCCAGCGACGCCGCGUGUGUGAAGAAGGCCUGCGGGUUGUAAAGCACUUUUAGUGGGGAUGAAAUGUGCAGGGUUAAUACCUCUGCAUUUUGACCUAACCCACAGAAAAAGCACCGGCUAACUCUGUGCCAGCAGCUGCCGUAA